GAACUGUAAGAAAGAUAUGAGAGUUUUGAAAUUGUGGCUGGAGUUCAGCUAAACCCGCAUAUAUUGAUUGUACUGACCUGUGAAUGCUGGUUGGUGUUUGAACUUUGAUUUGAGGAUGAGAAUUUUUUUUUAGUUAACAGAGCAAAUAGUUGUUGAUGAUAUUAAGCAGUACGGGCAAAAACACUUUCUUACCUAAGGAGAUUCUCUGCACUGAGUCAUUGUGAACCUGAUCAGAAACCAAAGAUACAUUUUGAAACAAAAUACUUUUUUUUUUCCACAAUUGAAAACAGUUUCUGGGGGUCUCAACAUAUCCGAGGUAUAUUUUGAUCAGAGCAACUCUCGCAAAUACAUUUUCAGAAAUAGGCAUCUAACUAGAGAUUUUGUCACUUAAUGUGUGGAAAGAAACUCACUUGUGUCAUUGGUUCAUCUUGUGCUUUUUCUUCCGCUUGCCUGUGUAAAAAGAAGACAUUGUUGACAGUUGUAAGCAAGUUACAUAACCAGAUGGAUAAGCUAGAUAUGACAACAAGACCUCUUAAGUUGUUGCCAGUGAGCUCUACUAUCAUUUGAUACUUUUUCUAGCAGUAUGAAUAAUAAUUUGGAUACAUACACCGAAGAUUGUAGGCUGGAUCCGGGACGAGCCACAGGCUCAUUAACGGCGGCCUACGGGCAUCGUGAGAGAGGAAGAGAAAGUCAAGAUGAGAGACAAAUGACUUAUCUCCCUGUGAUCACAUUGGCACGGUAUGACCACCGAAUCCACCAGAAGGUCAUGACAGAUCAGACAUUGAAGCUCCUCAGGCACAGGAAGCGACUCAUCCUGCGGCUCACUCUCCUCUUUGUGCAAAAAGGGAUGUUUCUCUUUCUUGCCCACGGCGUACGCCUGACUGCGAAAACACACAAACAAACAAUGGCUCCUUUCCUUAUUUCCCCCAACUUACAGAAUUAACCAGGCACACUCACGCAUCGAUGGCAGGAAUUGCAAAACGUCCGCAAUUCGUCAACAUGGCUCCUUUAAUGGUGGGGUCAUCCACCUCCACCAGGAAGGAACGAGGAAUGCCGCUGCUCUUUUUAAUCUUUGGAGGAGCGUCGAAAUUUUUAUCCUGUUAAUGAAACACAAAGAAAUGCUCAGUUGACUGAUCUACAAAGAAAAUCCAAUUACUGCAAAUUUUUAAAAAUCUGAUCUUGCUCAUACCCCACUGGAUGGACAUUUCCUAAUAUGGUGUCCGGCGCUUCCACAGCGAUAACAGGUGUAGUUGGCGGGGAGCGCCCCAGCUAUCUUUUUAUUGUAACUAGAGGGACAUAGGGAAAUCAUUGGAUCACUGUGAGCAUACGAAAAUUAAAUAUUUAAGCGAAAAACGGGAACUCA